GCUAAGAUUUAAAGGUUUUUACAUCUAAAUUUAGGGGUUCGAAUUCCAGACUAUGUAAUUUUUUGCAGUUUAUAGGAAAUCUAUGUUUAAAAUCCCGAUUUAUAAAAAAAAAAACUAAAUGAACUUCGCAUGAUGUAGUUUCUUUUGUCAAAUCCCUGUAAACUAAUCUAAACAUAUGAUUGUUUGUGUUUCUAUGAAUCAGUUUUUCUUACACUACCUUUAUAUCUCCCAUCUUUACUUCGUUAAUCAAUAAUGAAAUGUUUGUAACACCCUCUGCAUUCCGCUUUAUCAAUGCAUCUAAACGAAUGAACAUUUCAUCUCUGAUUCUCUCAUCAAUCCUCUUCAAGUAGAUAUUAUUACAUCUUCUCGGAAAUUACUUCAUCUACUGUUCCAGUUGCUAAAACCAUCGUCUGCCACUCAACUUUUGAUUCUCUCCGCCUUGGUCGAAUUGCUCGGUUCGUGGUUGCUCACCUCCUUCGUUUAUGAGAUUCAUGGAAAAAAAAGCGAGUCUAUGGGAAUCAUGUUUCUUUUCAUUGAUAAAAAAGAAUUAUAUUAUAUAUGAGGGAGAUGAUCAAGAAAAGGAUUAGUCCUGACAACACAUCUUACACGUUUUAGAUCAUAGGGAUUUUAGAUGAAGGGAAGUCGAGAGAGGCAUGUAAAUAUUUAGAGGAGAUGCUUGACAAAGGAAUGAAAAACUCUUUCAUUGAUUAAAACAAGUUUGUUCAGGAUUUUCGCAGAGUAAGACAACUGGAGAUGUUUAAGGAAUUGGGACAAAGAGCUAAGUUCACUGGAACAUUCCCCUUCGAAUAGUUCAACUGAUUCGUCAAGAAGUAAGGCUCUACAAGAAGGUUUAUACACCGUGAACUAGCUGUGGCGGUUGAUGAAUCACACUCCGGCUGCAACUAAGCUAACCGGAUCAUUCCAAUUAUGAGACUCCACCAAAAGCAAGCCGAUAACACCAUGUGCGGAGAAAUGUAUGAAUGGAAUGUAACACAGCAAAUCCACCAAAGAUUGAGGACGUUGUAAACACCCGCAAGCACCGCAGUGAGUGAUAGAAAAUUAUAAUUCUUAUCAGCCCGUCAACCAUAGUUUCAAUUCAUAGUUUUUAAAAUUGCUAUCAUCUUUGUUUCUCACUUAAAACUUUGGUUUUUUUCCUUCUAAGUAUUUAUUUCUUAUGAGGUUUUCUUUAUCUUUAAAUUAUUAAUGAAGCGUG